CCAACACUGGGACUGAGACACUGCCCAGACUCCUACGGGAGGCUGCAGUCGAGAAUCUUUCGCAAUGGGCGCAAGCCUGACGAAGCGACGCCGUGUGAGCGAAGAAGGCCUUCGGGUUGUAAAGCUCUUUCGCCAGGGAACAAGAGAGAUGGGUUAAUAACCCAUUGAUUUGAUGGUACUUGGUAAAGAAGCACCGGCUAACUCCA
rnacentral:rRNA from 1 species